UACAGAGGUCUCAAGCGUUGUUCGGAUUCAUUGGGCGUAAAGGGUGCGUAGGCGGCGCGGUAAGUCGGGUGUGAAAUCUCGGAGCUUAACUCCGAAACUGCAUUCGAUACUGCCGUGCUCGAGGACUGGAGAGGAGACUGGAAUUUACGGUGUAGCGGUGAAAUGCGUAGAUAUCAAGCGGAACACCGGUGGCGGAAGGCGGCCUUCUGGACGAGUGACUGACGCUGGAGAUGCGAAAGCCGUGGGGAGCAA
rnacentral:rRNA from 1 species